GAGCCGACAUCAUGAGCCGUCAUGUUCUGACUCCGCCGUCGGGGGAAGUCCGGUCGAAUUCCGGCGCUGACCCGCAACGGUAGGCCGCCGACGGCAGUCGGCGGCGAGCCCGAGUACCCGUCGGCGGAGGUGUGUGUCC
rnacentral:ncRNA from 2 species